rnacentral:lncRNA from 1 species
CGCGACCAACCGCCGUGCGGGCCGCCGGCAUUCCAGCUCAAGUGCAACAGCAGCGGCGCGUUCAUGGUCAAAUCCCUCUACCAGGCGUAUCGGGUGGUCAGCAUCUUCGCCGAGAACCAAUCCUUACAUGUGGUGGACAUCAACCUCCCGCUCGACACCGGCUGCCCAGCGCCAACGUUCAACGUCUCGCUCGUCCCCCGGCCGCUCGCCUUCAGCAAAGCCAACAAAGAGCUGCUCUUCCUCGGCAAGUGCACGGCGGGGUCUCAACCGGAGGAUUCGAAUGGGUUUCACAGCCUACCUUGCGACAGGUCUUCCUUCGUCCGGCUCGGCGACGGGCAGCUGUGGUUUGCUAGGUUUCCAGGUCGUUUGCGAGAACCACACACCAUACCUCCGGUACAAGGGGUGGAGGUAUUCCUGGGAAUACCCAAGAUUUUUCAGAAAAAAAUAGUAUAUAUGUCCUAUAUACAUGUGUAUACUUAUUAAUUAGAAGGUGCUCAGCAAUUCUUAGUAUAAAACGAGCCCAAUACAUGCAGCUUGGGCCAACUAGGAUCAUCUAUGCUAACUGCUAUGCUAAGGUCUAGUUCAUUUUUCACCCAAUGCUGGCCGGCUACCAACUGCCAUAAGCACAGCACAACAGAUUCUUUCAAUAUGGAUGGCAUUGCAUCCCGCUCAAGCUCUCACCUCUCCCUCUCUUAUUUCUCCUAAAUCCAUUCUCCUUUCUCAAAUUCCUAAUCCCUGACUACUAUUUCCCAACUUCACGCAUCAUGAGACGGAGUUGUAGCGGAUGAGUGAUGAGGCUGAGCGCGCUCGCACGCAGUGGCCCCCAACAACAUCACGACGACGGAUCAAAUAUGGGUGCACCUCCGGCAAGCUGUGCAAGCGUAUUAGUGAGAAGUGAAACUAAGGUUCCACGCCCUUGUUCCAUGCUGACCCCUCUGAUCUUAGCCUACUAAUUAAUCAGCCCUGCAUAUUGAUCCGUACAUUGUAAGAUGGAUGUUCGAUUGCUAAAUCUAGUCAUGUUCUAGCGAUACAUGAUGAUUUGGUUGUGAUGAAGUUGGGAAAAAGUUUACCAAGCCCAUGUGGCCUGUGGGGAUCUACUUUAAGCGCAACUUCGAACAUAUUUGCCUAUGAGCGUGGCUUGAAUGGUACAACUUUUUUUAGCUGAGAACACCUAACUCUCAUAUUCUGACUCCACCACUGUCAGGUACUACCUCCAGAACUUUAUACAGCUCCAGAUCCUAGAGAUCAUCUACGGCAACGGCUCUUUGCUUCUCGCGGAUAUGCACAAGCUUGUGGACCUGACAAACUUAGCCACUUAGUCAGCCAAUACAAAUUCUCCCUACAGUUAACACCUCAUCGAAGAUCGCUCACCCGUUCUCGAUCAGCCCCACAAAUCAGCAACUCAUCCUCUACGACUGCACCAAGCUGUCGAAGCCGGCAACGGCAGCGGCUGAUGGGCUUGUGGAGAGGACAUGCGGGAACAGCACGCUUUUAUGCACAGACAAGCAUAUUCCAUGCCUAAAUUAGCGUAGCCGCUCACCUCUACCUCGCUCUUAUGCACAAUGAAAAGACCAGCUAAUGCAAUGCAAAGAUCAGUCCACAAGCCCUCUAGAUCCAACCUUUUUAUAUGGAUCGGCCACCCUACAUUUCCUUUUUUUAACUCCACACGUGUUUCAAGAUUAAAACUCAUAUCUUUUUAAUCGAUAAUUAGCCCAAUAAAUUGUAGAUUAUACCAAAUAAUUUUAUUAUCUUUACAUUUAUAUUCAAAAGCACUUCCAUACAUCUGAUCUCAAUUUCACGGUCAUAAAAAUAUAAGAUAAGAUAUUCUGAUAGUCAGGGUGUAGCCUUAAGGCCGGAUUGGGUCAAACUGCAGCCUGCGCCAAAUAUGCUGUUCGUGAUAUUCACUAUAUACCAAUGCAUCUCCUUUGUCAAUUGUCGCUAUGAAAGUCUGACUUUAAUAAAAAGAGAGUGCAGUUAUACACACAAGAAUGGCAUAUGGCAGACGUCAACCCAGAGGUGUAGCAUUUUAUUCAAAUUUCAUUUCCAACUUUUUGAACCGUCAAAUAUUAACUCAUUCUUUCCUUCUACCAAAAGAAUCGACCUUUUAAUGUAACAGUAGGAGAGGUCCCUACUGGAUUUUCUUGUAUUUAUAUAUGUGUAAAAAGGGGAUAAGCACAAGCUUACAAGGUCAUAGGCCCAAAGAGACCCUAAUAAGAAGUUGGUAAUGAAAAUUACGUAGCCAAGUUUCUAGUAAAGUUGCAAGGAGGGCUUAGCUUUAUACAAGGUGAGACUCACUUCCUUCUUGAAACAAAAUUUCCAUCUUGCUAGAGAUAGGACGCCUGCAUAAAAAAUGAUAGAAUUCCAAUGGCACCAUAUACUUCAACAAGCCACAAUCAGGAUUUCCCUAAAAAUCUUUUAAGCAAAGUCCCUCCUAAUAUUCUAUAUGCUAUUUCAGGUAGUAGAAAUGGAACUGGAAGGAAGAUAAUACUAAUAGGUAUGCUACAUUCAAUAUCAUUUCAUAUUAGUCAUCCAAAUUUCAGUAGUCAGGCAAGUUACAUUUAGUUUUACUCUGUGGAAGAUCAUAGAAGAAUUAUUAUGACAUUUAUCAUAUCUAUUCUCACAUAGAUUUGAAAAAUGAAAAUUCGGAACAUGUGAUCCACAAGUUGUGGCUUCUAAUAUAAAAUUGGGAAAUUUGGAGCAAGAUCUGUGGUCUUUGAUUAUAUGGCUUCUUCAUAUUUUCUUACUUUGCACUUCUUAUUUUAUUUUUUUAUACAAAAAGAGAAAAAUAUGAAUUGUUAACGGUCUUGGAAAUCUUAAUGAUAAUAAUAUAGCAGCUCACUAUUUCAAGAGAAAAGUAACAUCUGCUUUAAUUUCAGUUUUGAUGACAGUAGCUGCAAGCUUGCUCCUACCAUGUAUAUAUGUGCUUGUAUGGCAUAGAAAGAGAGGAAAGCUACAUUUUUUCCUAUGUGAAAAGACUAGCAGAAACACUGAAAGGAACAUUGAGGCCCUACUAGUAUUGCAUGGAUCCCUAGCUCCGAAAAGAUACAAGUACUCAGAAGUAACAAAGAUAACAUCUUCCUUUGAUAAUAAGCUUGGGGAAGGUGGUUAUGGUGCGGUUUUCAAAGGAAGGCUAGAUGAUGGUCGUCUAGUGGCUGUGAAAUUCUUGCACAACUCCAAAGGAGAAGGAGAGGAGUUUGUUAACGAGGUUAUGAGCAUUGGCAGGACCUCUCAUGUUAAUAUUGUUAACUUAUUUGGGUUUUGUUUGGAAGGCUCAAAGCGGGCCCUAAUAUAUGAGUUCAUGCCCAAUGGUUCUUUGGAUAAGUUCAUAUACUCAGAGAAUCCUAAAGCAGUUUUAGGAUGGGAUAAGCUCUAUACAAUAGCGAUUGGAAUUGCUCGAGGAUUGGAAUACUUGCAUCACAAUUGUAAUACACGCAUUAUCCAUUUUGAUAUCAAGCCUCAAAAUAUCCUUCUAGAUGAGGAUUUUCACCCAAAGGUUGCUGAUUUCGGUUUGGCCAAAUUGUGCCAUACCAAGGAGAGCAAGCUUUCUAUGACUGGUGCUAGAGGGACAGUUGGUUUUAUUGCUCCUGAAGUGCACUCUCGAACCUUUGGAGUUGUUUCAACAAAAUCAGAUGUUUAUAGUUAUGGAAUGAUGCUAUUAGAGAUGGUUGGAGGUAGAAAAAAUGUGAAAUCAGUUGCUCAGAAAUCAAGUGAAAAGUAUUUUCCACAUUGGAUUUAUGAUCAUUUUAGACAAGGUGAUGGAUUACAAGCAUGUGAGGUCUCAAGUGAAGAUGAAGGAAUAGCCAAAAAGAUGAGUGUGAUUGGCCUGUGGUGCAUCCAAAUACUACCAAUGCAUCGCCCUACAAUAGCAAAGGUUUUGGAAAUGUUUGAGCGAGGUUUAGAUGAUUUGGACAUGCCACCGAGACAAAACUUCAGCCAAAUUCUGUAAGAUGUUCACGAUACUUAUUUCUGCAACUGCUCACUACUAUUUACUAUAGCAUUGAUGUUUUAGAAACAAUUUUUUUCAUUCUUUUGCAGCGAAGAUCCAUCUUAAAAUUUGAAUGCAGAAAGCACGAGUACAAGAAGUGGUACCAAAACUCAAGUUUUUAGCGAAGUGCUAAAAAUGAAGGAGAUGAGCGUUGUGAAUUCAAAAAGCUUACAUCGGCUACCAACUCUGUGACAAGGUUACCUAGCAUUGGAAUUAUGCACUGAACUUAUGCAUCUAUAUGAGAGAGGGUAGAAAUCUUAAGUUACUCUGAUACUUGUCUCAAAAGAAACAUGCCUACUAUAAUAUUUUGCAUUCAAAGUCAUUAAGGUCCCAAGAAGGAAAGUUUUGCAACUAUGCAUACGAUAUUUUGACAUAAUCCUAACAUUUCUAUAUUUUUGUUAGUUAGACCUUCUCAUUGUUCUUUGUCGACGUACCAGCACACCUUAUAGUCAUCCAUCACCAAAAAUCUCCCAAACGCUAAUGAUACAUUUGUACCAGAAUCAGGUAACUGAAAAGGUAUCCAAGACAUUACACAUACUAGAAAAAAAUCAAGGCAUUACAGUUUUCAAGUCAUGGCCUUAUUAGUAGAGUCGAUCAGCAUAUAGUUGGAUCCUGGAUUAUUGCCAUGUUGAAAUACGAGGAUGAAGGCAUGAAGCUGAUCGUAGCCAUGAGUCACGACACACAUAUAACUGAGGCCUAAAGGGGCAUAAAUUUUGCUUGACUUAUUGAGUUAGGUUCCAAACACCGGUGCAUCAGCUAUGAAGUUUCUUAGUUUAAUCUUCAGGUUCCAAUCAAAAGUUAAGGUUGACAGUUGACACCCACAAGCCGUCCAAGUGAACCCAAAAAAGAAAACUACUCAAUCCAAAUACUCAUGGUCUCAAUGCAAAAUCAGAAUACGUUUUCGAACAAUAGAAGCACCAAUCAAAUUGAUCUACGCAUCUGAUAACUAAAAAUCACAUAUGUGGGUAAAUCGAUCAUAAAUCUUGUGGAAGUACGGAACCAGUCAAAGUGCGUGAUACUUACAUGGUUCUUCGAAUGCCUGCUGCUCCUACUAUUCUCCCAAGGCAACAAGGGUAGGUUAGGCAUACGUACCCAAAGGGUUUACGCCACUGAUGGCGCGAGAUUGGAUUAGUGCUGCAGCCUCUCCGUCUGCCACCCUAAUCACCGGCACGGAGCCAGCGAUGCAGCAAGGGGCAGAGUGGAGAGAUUUUUGGGAGAUUUGCUCAUGCCCUCAUGGGAUGGUACCAGGUACCAGCUGCUAUUGCGCCGUAAGAGAUGGUUGGGGAUGGUGCUGUAACUGCCGUUCACUGCCGCGCGUCUCGACGGCAAGACGAGAACGGCAGCAGCUCGGCAACUCGUUCGUCAGGCGUUGCGGCCUAGAGUGGAUCUCCAUGGACCGAGCCCAUCUAGUGGUGAGGGUCCAUCAUGAAAAGUUGGACCGUGCCAGGUCCACGUAGGCACGCCGUUGCCUCCGAUGACCCAAUACAAUUUGUCAGCGUCUCCAAAAAAAAUACAAUUUAUGUACUCUAAAGAAAGAAUACAAUUUAUCAGAGAAAUUCCACGCAUAUGAUCUGUGGUCUAUGCACAUCCCGACAAACAUCAGUAUUUGGGAAGGUGAUACAGGGGUUUUGUUUUCAGGAAGCUGGAUGCAUAGCCUGGACGUUUUAGGUUGUGUGGUGAAUACAGUGCUAGUCGUCUCCUCUGAUGCUCUCUUGGAAUCGCCGAAUGGCCGACGAUGUUUGUACCGGUCUGGAGUCCUUUCAAUAUCUAACUGUUGCCAGCGGUAUGUAGUUAACUUUCAGGGUUAGUGUUUGGCAUAAAUGAGUGAAGCUUGCUUGGCCGACAAGAGCGUGUAUUACCCGGAGCUGAUCUGGCUCAGGGCGCGCAUCCAGUCACGUCAGUGUCUCAUGACAGUCGUCGCUUUGCCCCAUCCCAUACAGGCACAUCGGACAUUUCCGUGCGCGGAUGACGAUGGUCCCAAUGUGUCCCCUCAAAGCUUUCUGCCACUACAGUCUACACAAGGCUCGCGGACUCACUAGCUUCACCUUAGUAUGGCGCUUGUGCCUAUCUAUCUUGGUCCCAGAACUGAUUCACCACUCUGUUCGUUCUACUACUGCCAUCAUCGAAACCUUCCCAUACGCUCCUCCUCCGUCUUCCUUGCUGCUCUUCCUCGUCUCAUCCUUGCUACAUGGAGCUAGAGACCAUGUAGUACGGACUACGGACCUGGCAACCCAAACCACCAAUUAGCUUAUUUAUUAUCCGCGCCGAUGAUUUGAUAAGGGCGUAAGCCGGUGGUCGUCCCCAACCGUGGCAGGAGUGUUCACCGCCGUUGGAAAUGCAAAAGUCAAUGAGAUGUUAAAAUUUAGGGCGUGCUUGGGAUUGCUCUGCUCCAGUUUUUUCCAGCUCCGCUGCUAAACCAUUUGCCAAACACCUCCAGCUCCAACAAUCCAAUCUCCAGCUCCAACAAUCCAAACUCCAGAAAAAAUGUGGAUCUAGAAGGCAACUCUAAGGUUUUUUCGGAGCACCUCAAAGGGUGCUCCAAAAACGCAGGUUUCAUACAUUAUCUUGGAGUUGGGUGGAAAUUACCCACCAAUGCUACUGGUUACACAUUCCUCUUCGGCAAAAAAAAAGACCGCUACUGUUUCGCCCCCUCCCCUCCCUCCCAACACAUCUUUUUUUGUGCCGCCCCCUUCCCUCCGCCUUGCAAGUUUCUCUGUGCGCCGUCACCGCCUUUUCCCCUCCCUCCGAUGGCAAAAAAACCGGCGAGAUGGACGCCGGUGAUGAUCCACAACACCUCAAUGAUGAAAUUCCAUUGAUUACUCCUUCAUCUGGAUCGAUUUUGACCCAAGCACAUGCCGCCCAAAGAGUCCUCGCCGCCCGUGCUACUAGCUCCGCCGGCUGGAGCUCCUUCCACCCGCUGGCGGCCAUGGGGAUAGCCAUGGCUCGCCCUAGGGCCGCGGCCUUGACACAACAGCCAAUGAGGGGCUCGGCCAUGGCGAGUGGCCUUGGCGACAAUGUGUUGCUGUUGAGCCGUGUGUGCUCCGCGGUCCUGCCGGCGUCGGCCGUCGCAGGCCACUCGCCUAGCAUGGUUCUGGUGGUGCGCCAGCUGUGGAGGUCGACGAUCCUGCACAUGGUCUUGAACUUUUGUGGUGGUGGAGGUGAGCAACCUUGGUUCUCGAUGGAAUCACAGCUUGAAGCUGGACUGGAUGAUAAUCAGUUGGUGAUGAGGAAGACCAUGCCGCAGUGGCCGGACUAGUUAAUCACCGGUGACUCCUUCUGGUUCUUCCCGGCCAUUGAUCUUCCCGCCCAUUGAUUAGAGUGAUUAUCUGUAGGUGGCAAGAUGGGUGUCUCCAAGACUUCUUCCUUUGAUGUUAGGAAGCAGCACAAGCACAAGCCAGGUCAGGUUAGUUGUAGAAUGACUGAGAUUAGCUUGAUCUUGUUAAGCAGUUGUUUGUUCAACACUGGUCUAGCUAGUUGAAACAUGUGCGUUAUGCAAAAAUGAUUGAAACAGUGUAACAUUUGACUUUGUAUCUCGCAAUCUGCGUUCGUUUGUUUAUUCUAAUUUACAUGUGGUUAGUUUCAACCAAGAGCAAAUCAGUUCCAAUUUAACAUUUGGUAAAAUGAUAUAUUCCGCUCUGAUGUCAUUUAAGCUGGCAUAAAAAGUAUAUUAACAUCAGUGAAAAACUCAAGCAAUCAGUCACUAUAGCAGUCGGUACUGCAGCUCACGAAAAAAAAAUCCAAACUUCAACCAAAGGUAAAAGAGACUGUUCACACCCAUUCCUACAAUUUUUGGAGCUGAACCAUUAAUCAAACACAUUCGUAGCUCCUUAUUUUCCUAGAGUUGGUAGAGCAGAUCUAAAAAAAGUGGAGCUGUUCUUUUUUGAAGUAGAGCAGUCCCAAACAUACAUUAAAUAAACAAAUUUAGAGAGACAGAGAGGAACACACAUUAAAUAAACAAAUUUAGAGAGACAAAGGGGAAAAAACAAGGAAUAAUCAAACGCUUGGUGGAGGCGUGGACCACGACCGGUCGCCACCGUCCUUUCUAGUUUCUCCCCUCCUCAUCUCAUAUCCGUCCCCGUCCCGCUAUCCGUUCCGUGCUCGCAUUCCUUAGUUCCGUUCGCUGACCCAACUCCUAAAUCCAAAGCCCAAACCACUCCGCCAUUGGCCACCCCUUAUGCCUCCGCUCCUCCUGCUGCUGCUCGCUUCCUUCCUCCUCCCGCCGCCGGCGGCCAGCGCGGGCACGGCACAGCCGUCAAGCUGCUGGCCGAAGACAUGCGGGGGCCUGAACAUCACCUACCCGUUCUGGCUGGAGGAGCGCGACCGGCCGCCGUGCGGGCCGCCGGCAUUCCAGCUCAAGUGCAACAGCAGCGGCGCGUUCAUGGUCAAAUCCGUCUACCAGGCGUAUCGGGUGGUCAGCAUCUUCGCCGAGAACCAAUCCCUACAUGUGGUGGACAUCAACCUCCCGCUCGACACCGGCUGCCCAGCGCCAACGUUCAACGUCUCGCUCGUCCCCCGGCCGCUCGCCUUCAGCAAAGCCAACAAAGAGCUGCUCUUCCUUAGCAAGUGCACGGCGGGGUCUCAACCGGAGGAUUCGACUGGGUUUCACAGCCUACCUUGCGACAGGUCUGCCUUCGUCCGGCUCGGCGACGGGCGGAAUUUCUCAAGAAGCCACAUCCAGGGCGGCAUCCCGCCGGGCUGCUUCUUCGCUUUCGUGCCGAUUCUUGAGGUUCCCAACGGGAACGGCGACGAGUACGUCG